rnacentral:rRNA from 1 species
GACAGAGGGUGCAAACGUUGUUCGGAAUUACUGGGCGUAAAGCGUGCGCAGGCGGUUUGCUAAGACCGAUGUGAAAUCCCCGGGCUUAACCUGGGAACUGCAUUGGUGACUGGCAGGCUAGAGUAUGGCAGAGGGGGGUAGAAUUCCACGUGUAGCAGUGAAAUGCGUAGAGAUGUGGAGGAAUACCGAUGGCGAAGGCAGCCCCCUGGGCCAAUACUGACGCUCAUGCACGAAAGCGUGGGGAGCAAACAGG